rnacentral:rRNA from 1 species
CACGUAGGGCGCAAGCGUUGUCCGGAAUUAUUGGGCGUAAAGCGCGUGUAGGCGGCAGUGCAAGUCGGGUGUGAAAGCCCUCAGCUCAACUGAGGAAGUGCGCUCGAAACUGCAUUGCUUGAGUACCGGAGAGGAUGGCGGAAUUCCCGAAGUAGAGGUGAAAUUCGUAGAUAUCGGGAGGAACACCAGUGGCGAAGGCGAGUCUCUGGGAUGAUGCUGACGCUGAGGCGCGAAAGCCAGGGGAGCAAACGGG